CUCAAUGAAAUAAUGGUUCCUGAGAAAGGAAAACCUCAAAUCUGAUUUGUUCUCUUAAAUUCAAGCUCUAAUUGCUUUGAGUAGAAGCCCAUGUCAGUUGAAAUCAUUUCUUGUUUUUUCUUCUGGGGCAAAGGUUAAUCUCAGUCAGAUCUUUCAAUUACGUAGAGAAUUUGCCAACCAAAGGAAUAAGCAACUGGGACCCUUAGCACUCAGACAAGGGAAUUGCCAUCGGAUCAGGAAUCCUGAGUAACUCCACUUUCUUCUCCUUCUUGCACAAGGAAAUUUAAGUUCAGCAAGUCAGAGCCAAUAAUGGACAGAUCUGGCUUCUCCCCAAGGGCGGACACGCUGUCAACUUCAUGGCACCAGAGGGUCUGGUAGAUGCUGGGCCAUCCAGGGUCAGAUGCUUUCCAGCAAGGCUUGUUCUGUGCUAGCAGCAGCCUGGUGGGAAAGAACCAACUCCCUUUCAAAUGGCUACAUCUGAGAAGCAUUAUGAUGGCUAAAGGGAGCUGUGGCCAGAAGAUGCUACCAAGGUCGACAGGUACUCAGAUAUGAGAGGUGAACAAUAAUCCAAUCACAAGAAGGCAACUUGAAGGAGCCUAUUAGAUGGAAUCCAGUAACAAAGAGCAAGAAGCAGGAUUGCUUCUUGAUCCAGGCACUGCUGACAGCCUGGGUCUGGCUAUGGUUCCAUUCCACACUCAUCGCCUGGAAGCUACAAGUGAAACACGGAUGAAUUGGAUGCGCCAGCACCAACCUCAGCCCAGGGCUUCUCCUCCAUCACAUCAUCCUGCUCCUCCCUUCCUGCUGUGUACCCAGUAGGAGUAUCUCCUUCCAGAGCAGGGUGAGUAGUCAUGCUCUGGGGAUCUGUCAGAAUUUCAUAGGAGACUCUUGGGUGAUUCCAGGAUGAAGGAGUAAAAAUAUCCCAGGGGCUACUCUGCCCAAAGGUUCCUGGAAGAAUAGAGACAAAGUAAUAAAUAAUAUGCAUACAAUGGAAGGUAACCUGUCUUCUAAUCAGAACAAAACUUACUCCUAACACGACUAGUCUACUUGACCCUAGUGAUGUUGCUUUAAUCAGGCUAAGUUGUGUCCCUAGAGUUCCAUAAGAAACAAUUUCAGGAAAGUGCCCCUGGAGACUGAAGCCUAGAAUGCUCCCCACAAAAUGUAUCAAGGUGUUCAUAAGCUACUCAAUAAUAUAAGAACUUGC
rnacentral:lncRNA from 1 species